rnacentral:rRNA from 1 species
GAUGAACGCUGGCGGCGUGCCUAAUACAUGCAAGUCGAGCGAACAGACGAGGAGCUUGCUCCUCUGACGUUAGCGGCGGACGGGUGAGUAACACGUGGAUAACCUACCUAUAAGACUGGGAUAACUUCGGGAAACCGGAGCUAAUACCGGAUAAUAUAUUGAACCGCAUGGUUCAAUAGUGAAAGACGGUUUUACUGUUACUUAUAGAUGGAUCCGCGCCGCAUUAGCUAGUUGGUAUGGUAACGGCUUACCAAGGCGACGAUGCGUAGCCGACCUGAGAGGGUGAUCGGCCACACUGGAACUGAGACACGGCCCAGACUCCUACGGGAGGCAGCAGUAGGGAAUCUUCCGAAAUGGGCGAAAGCCUGACGGAGCAACGCCGCGUGAGUGAUGAAGGUCUUCGGAUCGUAAAACUCUGUUAUUAGGGAAGAACAAAUGUGUAAGUAACUAUGCACGUCUUGACGGUACCUAAUCAGAAAGCCACGGCUAACUACGUG